UACGUAGGGGGCUAGCGUUGUCCGGAUUUAUUGGGCGUAAAGAGCGUGUAGGCGGCCAGAUAGGUCUGCUGUGAAAACUCGAGGCUCAACCUCGAGAUGUCGGCGGAAACCAUUUGGCUAGAGUCCGGAAGAGGAAAGUGGAAUUCCUGGUGUAGCGGUGAAAUGCGCAGAUAUCAGGAAGACCACCCCUGGCGAAGGCGGCUUUCUGGGCCGGUACUGACGUUGAGGCGCGAAAGCGUGGGGAGCGAACAGG
rnacentral:rRNA from 1 species